rnacentral:lncRNA from 1 species
AAAGAGGAAUUAUUAUUUUUUAAAUUCAAUUUAUUAUUAUAAUUUAUAAUAAAUAAUAAAUUUGAGUUAUUAAAUUUUAAAAAAAGAAAGAAGAAAAUUUCUUGUCACAGGCUAUGCAAACCCUUCAAUCCUCAACAUGCUAUGCAAUCCUUCAAUCUGGAAAAAAAAAUACACACUAUUUUAAGUCAUUUCGUCAUAGUGCAUAAUAAAGAUAAUCAUUAAUAAUUAUGAAAUAAUUAAGAAAUAGAACUUACUAAACAUUUUCGGUAAAAUUAUGUGAAUCAUCUUCUUCAGUUAUAAAAUCCCAGAUGAUUGCAUAUAUGUUAGCACAUACUAUGUCUUCAUUGCCAAUAUUUUUUAAUAGUUCGUCAAUUUAUUUUUGUAUUCAACAUAUAUUUUUCCAAAUAAUAGCAUAAAACAUCAUUCUCUAUAAUGCAAAUAACAUCUCCAAACUAAAAUGUAAAAAGAUAAGGCAAAAAACUAAUAGAAAUUGAUAGAAAAUUAGGAAAGCAAAAUAAGUUUCCUACAUGAAAAAUACGAUAGCACAAUCUCUUAAAAUGUAAAUUUGAAAGUAAUGUGAAGUGAACUUCAGAUCUGCCUACUCUUAGCAAGAAUGUUAAUGACUUCUUCCUUCAGUUUUACCAUUGAAAAUACAACACAUUGUACCUCGUGACAAUUUUAUUGAUAUAUUUAUAUUAAUAUUUUAAAUGGUAAUGUGUUGCUUAAAAUUGUUUUGAUUCUUUUUAAUUUUAUUUUAUGUAGCAUGAAUUCAAUUGUACAACCCUAUCAUUAGAAUGACUUUUUUCCCAUAAAUUGUAAAACUUUUUCUUCUUUAAUUAAAAUAAGUCUGAAAAAUUAGUACUUGUAAAUUUAACAAAUGAUAUAGUAGAUUUCCUCACAAAAGCAAUAUACACACACGCACCACCACUUUCAACUUGACAUUUUCAUGUUGCGGGGAUCACAUCAACUCAAAUCUGCAAGAUAUAAAACAAUUUUAGUGCAUGGUAAUAUUUUAUAUUAGAAACUCACAUGAUAAAUAAAGAAUUAUAUUUAUUAUAAUAUAAAUAAUUAACGACCACCCAUACUCCUUUAUACAACAAUUUUUCCUUCCAAACUAUUAUUUUAUUAGAAGAAGAACAAUAGACUGUAAAUGAUUAAUCAACUGUAAUAACUAUCAACCAUAUUGAUAGUUGAUAGAAGUCCACAUUUUUUGGUAUGUAAUUUAAAAAAAUCUUGGAUAGUUUUUCAUACCUGAUUUUAAAUUAAUGCAUAUGAUAAUUCACUGCUUGAAGCAAUACAUCUGUGCAUUGAAGAUGAAUUUGUCACUCCGAAAAAUGAUUGUUCUAAAGGAUAAUACUAACAAAAUGAAUAAAUUUUUUCUGAAAAAAGAAGACAUUUAUUUAUAGAAUGAAUGAAGCAAAUGGAUAAAGUAGGUGGUUGCCUUUAUUAUAGGAAUUCAAAAAUAAAAAAAUGGUUACAUAUUUGAAAAACACCAUUUUCAGAUAUGUUUUUUUUUUUCAGAUUUAAAUUAAACCGUAUUUGAUUAUCCUUUAAACAAAUUUUCAGAUUUAAAUGGGAAGUUAGAUAAACAUGGAAUUUAUUAGAUUUUCUCUUCUUUUUUUUGGGUCAUUUUUUUAUAUACAUUUUAUUUUUUAAAAAAGUAAAUAAAUUCGUGAGUUGGUUAUUUUUUUGAAAAAGUGAUUUCCUUUUUCAUUUAUACUUUUUCCAUUUAUAAAUUUAUUAUUUAAAUUAUUUUUCCAUAUUAAUUAGUGGCCAUUUUUUCUUUUUAUCUAUUAUUAAUAAGAGUUAAAAACUUUAAUUUUUAUUUUUUGAAAAUGGUUGAUUCACGGCCGUUUUUUAUUUUAUUUUAUUAUUAUUUAUUAUUUUUCUAAAAAAAUUUAUUUAAAUAUUUUACACAUAUUUUUGAAAUUCAAUUAUUAUUAUUAUUAUUAUUAUUAUUAUUAUUAUUGUAAUUAAAAAAAUCAAAAUUUUAUGGUGGUUUCUAUAAGUUUACACAUAUUUUUGAAAUUCAAUUAUUAUUAUUAUUAUUAUUAUUAUUAUUAUUAUUGUAAUUAAAAAAAUCAAAAUUUUAUGGUGGUUUCUAUAAGUUUACACAUAUUUUUGAAAUUCAAUUAUUAUUAUUAUUAUUAUUAUUAUUAUUAUUAUUGUAAUUAAAAAAAUCAAAAUUUUAUGGUGGUUUCUAUAAGUUUACACAUAUUUUUGAAAUUCAAUUAUUAUUAUUAUUAUUAUUAUUAUUAUUAUUAUUGUAAUUAAAAAAAUCAAAAUUUUAUGGUGGUUUCUAUAAGUUUACACAUAUUUUUGAAAUUCAAUUAUUAUUAUUAUUAUUAUUAUUAUUAUUAUUAUUGUAAUUAAAAAAAUCAAAAUUUUAUGGUGGUUUCUAUAAUUCAAUAAAUGAUUCUAAUAAUUUAUCUUAUAAUAUAUAUUUUUUUAAAUUAUUUUAGAAUGUAUCAAAAAGGUUUUCUGCUUUAUUAGAAAUUUGUAUUUUUUUUAAUUUGAAGUGAUCAUUAUCAAGAAUAACUCUCCAUGUUUCUCUCCCUCCAGAAUACACAUUAUAUUCAACUACUCAUCUUUUAAAAAGCAAAUACUUCCUAAUCGAUUAUUAUUGAUCUCUUUACAGGAUGAGAAUUCAUUAAGUUCUUUAAUGCUUAAUGUUAAACUUCAUGGUUAUGAUUAUAUGAAAACAACUUCAGUUCCAUACAUAUAAAUAUAUAAUCAUAACCAUGAAGUUUAACAUUAAGCAUUAGAGAAAUUAAUGAAUUCUCAUCCUGUAAAAAGAUCUGUAAACUAGGAUAAGCAUUAAAAUAAACUGGUUCAUAAGCCAGAUUAGUCUAUAUAGUCCCUAUAAGAAAUUUCUUCCAAUUUUGAUUUCUACGUUCUCUUAAAGCUGCUAUAAAGCUUUCUGGUAGACCUCUUAAGGGUAAUCCAACGGAUUCAUUCGACAGUCUUUCAAAAAUCUGUCUGGAUCAUUUUAACUUAACCUUAGUAGAACUGUUCAAUAUGUUUUAACAAUAGACAUAAUUGCCAUUUCUUACAGUAACUUAGUAAGUUAUAGUUCAACGCAAAUAGUCUAGCCUAUCAUUUAAGCUAAGCACAUAAAGAAAAAAAAACUAAAAUUAAAAUAAUACCUGGAGUAGGACUUGAAAUACACACCAAACUGAAAGUUUUUCUUAUUCAACAAACUUAAAAAUUUACAAAAGAAAGUAUUCUAAGAGAGAGAGAGAGAGGGUUCUGAGACCUGCCUCUUAACAUAAACUUAUUCCUCCUUAUAUAGAGGUCUAAAAGAUAAAAAUAUAAAAAGUAAAGAUUACAAUGGCCCACACAAUUUAUAUUGGCCAAUAAUAAGAAGAUAAGACCGACAAGGAAACAUGGUCUUUCUACUAAUAUGUGGCUGACAUAUUAU